ensembl:lincRNA
CAGUAACACAGGUCAGAAGGUACCCGGGAGCUCUCUGGGGCUCUUUCCCACGGAUGCUCUUCGGCUCAGGGGGCUCCACCCCCGUGACCCAUCACCUUCCAAAAGCCCCGCCUCCUAGCCCGUCCCACUGGCCAUAACGUUUCAGCACCUGGAUUCUGGGGAGGCACAGACGUCCCCUCGGCAGGGCGGAUGUUUCUGUUUUUCUUUUCCUUCCCUUUUUUUACAGGGGGGAGGGGAGAUCCGUGCUUUCUUUAUUUCCUGCUUCCUUUAACCAUUUAGUGAGUUAUAGAUUCCACUUCUUUUCUUAUCUUGAUUUUCUAACAUACAUGCAAUCUCUGCUUCAUAUGCUGUGAGAACCCAGCUCCUCCUCGGCCGGCCCCGCCCUUACUGCAAUUGUCGUGUUUUGUAUUUGCUCUGCCAAGGAAAGGGCUGUGUCUUUGCAGCGCCCAGACAGAGGUGGAGACGCACUGAUUAUGUUCAUUAAAGCUAUUGCAGGUCACGGGCCGACUGAGGCCUGUCCGGCCGCAACUGCUGCUAGUAUCUCGACAGCUAACAACAGCAGAAAUAAAGGUCCUAUGAAGGAACUGCCAAAACAAACUCUGUAACUAUGCAAGUCUGUGCUGUGGGCCUAAGCACAUCUCUAAAGACCGUUUCAUUUGGGGAAAUGCUUCUUUCCUUCUGGAAAAUGUUUCUUUAUUAAAAUAAAAAAAAAAAACCAACACUGCGUUUACAGCACAUUGUCCCUGAAAUU